GAUGAACGCUGGCGGCGUGCCUAAUACAUGCAAGUCGAGCGAACGGACGAGAAGCUUGCUUCUCUGAUGUUAGCGGCGGACGGGUGAGUAACACGUGGAUAACCUACCUAUAAGACUGGGAUAACUUCGGGAAACCGGAGCUAAUACCCGAUAAUAUUUUGAACCGCAUGGUUCAAAAGUGAAAGACGGUCUUGCUGUCACUUAUAGAUGGAUCCGCGCUGCAUUAGCUAGUUGGUAAGGUAACGGCUUACCAAGGCAACGAUGCAUAGCCGACCUGAGAGGGUGAUCGGCCACACUGGAACUGAGACACGGUCCAGACUCCUACGGGAGGCAGCAGUAGGGAAUAUUCCGCAAUGGGCGAAAGCCUGACGGAGCAACGCCGCGUGAGUGAUGAAGGUCUUCGGAUCGUAAAACUCUGUUAUUAGGGAAGAACAUAUGUGUAAGUAACUGUGCACAUCUUGACGGUACCUAAUCAGAAAGCCACGGCUAACUACGUG
rnacentral:rRNA from 1 species